rnacentral:lncRNA from 1 species
GGCAGAUACUGGGGAGACUCAAAGGAGAAUCGCCAUUUUGAAAACGAACAAACUGCUCCAGAGAAGCAGUGUGGCUCACUGCGCUAUCCCCCAGGUCAGAUCAGCUCCUAGCUCAGCUUCCAAUGAAUCUAUCCAGCUCUCUGUCCCCAAAGCCUUCCUAAAGCCACAUCUGCUUCCUUGUUCCACUGUUGGGUUUUCUUGGUCUUUUUCCAACGCCCACUGAACAAAGGAGUCACAGCAAACCUGUCCUGUGUCCCCAAACCCACCCUACACUGUAAGCACAUCAGAUCACCUGCUUCUCUACUCCACAUUUUUCCUGCCUCAGUGACUUCCCUCGAGCCGUGUCCACCGCUUAGUGUGCCUGUUCUUUCUCAGCGUGUCCAAAUCUAACGCAAGCCGCCAAGCCCAGCUCACAUGCUGCCACAGCCUCUUAAAGCCUCUGCUUUUAUCUUCCCUGGUGCUUCUAAGCCAUUCUACCCCAAUCUAGUUUUUAGUUUCCUCAGGGGUCUGGGAGUACCUUCAGAAACCCAGACCGAUUGGAAUGUCGAGUAGUUCACUUUUUCCUACAACCUUGGGGAACAACUUGGACUGUCCCACUGUCCCUGCUAUAAAGCUGGGAUAUCACCUGCUUUUCUGGGCUGGGUGAGGAUUAAGCAAAAACACCCAGCCCUAUAAUGCCUCAAGUACAGACUGGGAGACUAAUGAGGUAAUGAUUGUGAGAGGCACCAAGUCGGACCAGGUGUGGCUGGAUCUGCUGAGUCCAGGAAACUCAAUGUUUCUCAUUUAUCUCCUCUCCAAAUGCCUGACUCCCACCUAGGGAAAUUAGGUGUGUGUGUGUGUGUGUGUGUGUGUGUGGGUGCAUGUGCGCGUGCGUGUGCGUGUGUGUGCGCGCGUGUGUCCUUGCCUAUCUGGAACUUAUGAUCUGACUCUUUCUUCUGAGUUUGGGAUUACGGGUAGGUACCACCCAUGCCCAGUUUGCUGUUGUGCUUAAAGGCUGCUAAGCUUUGGAGUCAUAGGCAACCUGUUGCACCAGCAGCCUGCUGGGCCCCACCCUGAACCUUCUGAAUCAGAUUUCCGUCGGUGAGUGAGGCCAAGGAAGCUGCAUUUAAAAAUGAGAUAGAUUGACUGUAUUUGUGGGUAUGAGUACUUUGUCUGCAAGCAUUUAUGUGCACCAUGUGCAUGCCUGGUGUCUUAGGAAGUCAGAGGAGGCCGUUGGAGCUCCUAGAACUGGACUUACAGGUGGUUGUGAGCCUCCGUGUGGGUGCUAAUAGUUGACACGGGUCCUUUGCUAAAACAAGUGUUGUAAUCGCUGGACCGGCCCAGGAAUCUUCAUUUUGGACAAACCUCGAAGGAGAGAGCUUCAGCAACAGCUCUAGCCACGCUGGGCCAUAGGGAACACAGAGAACAACUGAGAUAAGAACAGGAGGGCAACACUAUCCCCUUUGUCCAAGAGUGGUGGAGGUGAACUUGGAGAGUGACAAUGUCAACAAAAAAUUCCCCUCUGUUCUCUCUCAGCUCCUCUUUGAGCCUUGGCCUCAGAGUGCAUCUAGGGCCAAUCAGUAGCCAGACAGGGUUACCGGAUUCACUCCUGGCUCUCCAGUCAUUCAUACUCAGCAAAUAUUUGUUGAAGCAACUCAACUCCCAAGGGGCCAGUUCUGAACAGAAGAAGACUCAAUACCCAGCCUACUGCCCUAGAUUCCAGCACCUGUUUUUCCCUCUGGGCCAGGGUGUGGCCACACAGAACCAAUAAGCUUGCUCGAGUAUUCACGGUGAGGAGGUGGACAGAAGAAUGUAUAGAAAGGCACAUUGGUUCUCAGCCUAGGGAGUCAUGUUGUGGAGAGAAAGCUGGGUAGGAGUGACAAUAUGAGGGACCCUUCUUUAUCUACGGCACAAGCAGACACCGGCCAUCAAGGAUCCGUCCAACUGAGACCAGACGGUGGUCUGUUUCUGAGCUCUGCCCCGGUCUCUCAACCCCAGCCUCAAAUAGUAUAUCUCAGGUUUGAAAAGGGUCCAUGCUUGGGCCACGCCCCUCCAAACAAUGGAGUUCAGAUUUUUGGGUGAUAGCUAAACAUCAGAGCCCCCCCCCCCGAAACAGCACAAGAGCUCCUAGUUCAUGGCCUCGGUUGGAAAAUUGCUGGUGAGCUGCAUUCUUUUUCUUCUCCUUUUGCCUCUGAUUGCUUGGAGCCUAAAGAUCCCAGAUAUUUAAUCAUAGCAAUCACAGCUAAGAGUUAGGAAGGACCUAUACAUCUGCCAAUGAAUGCCCCUGGCUUCACCAAAAAGCCAUUGGCUGCCGGGAAGAUGGACUGGGAAACAGGAAUUAUAAUGCACAGCACAGGAAGGCCUGGGAAUAGCCCCACCUCAGGUCCUGGGCGUCCGCAGGAAAGAGUAGAUAGAAGUUUCUGGAGACACCUCGGAGUCUGAAUGGAGGGUGGGGGAAAAGACCGGACAGUGGGCUUGAGCCUGGGGAGACAUGGGAAGGAGCGGGGAGGGAGUGGAGGGGAGGGGGGUGAACUCUAGAUAGAAGAAACUAAGCAGUUCCAAGCACAGAGGAAGACAAGCAGGCACAGAGGCCCAUCCCUAACCAAGAAGCUAUUUGCAGCGACAUCUGCCAGGAGAAGGAAGAUCCAUUCUCUCCAAAGGACUGUCAGUGGGUAUGUCAACCUCGAUCCAGGGCAGGCCCCAUGCCCAGGGGUAGCUGGCCAGCACAAGUGUGGACUCCGUAUUUUUUGUGCACAUUUUGUUUUGAUUUGCUAUUUUUUUUUGGCGUUUUUUUGGCUUUGUUUGCUUCUAAUUUGUUUUCCUUGUGGGUUAUUUGUUGUUGUCGUCGUUGUUGUUCUUUUCUUUUUGAGGGAAAGAGAGGGAGAGAAAAUGAAGUUGAAUGGGUAGCGAGGUGGGAAGGAUCUAGGAAGAGUUGGGGGAAGGGAAAGAGUAUGAUUAAAAAUAUACUUUUUGAAGACAAAUAAAUAAAUAAAUAAACACAUAAAAACAGAUG